rnacentral:misc_RNA from 1 species
AAAGUCGUAACAAGGUUUCCGUAGGUGAACCUGCGGAAGGAUCAUUAUCAUAUAACGUAUCCACGUAUAAACCAAUCUUUAAUGUGAAUUGUUUUAUUUACCUCAUUUUCUUGUAUUGAUUGUAUUCUUUCAUAUACCAAAAGAUUUUUGAAUAUCACCUGUUUAGCGUUUGAAUGAAAUUGCUUGAUAGAUUAAUUUCAUGAGCUAAUCCUUUGGGAGGAUAUACAAUGAUCUGUGAGAGAAAUGAAUCAAUUGAAAAUGAGCGAAUUUAAUCUAUCUAAACUUUAUUAACCAAUUGAACCGUAAUUGUUAUUUUAUCUUUUUAGUACUGAAUUGAUUUCCUAUUCUCUCCUUUAUUGGAAAGAUUUGAAAUUAAAAUUUUACGAAAAAUUAUAGAACAACUCUUAGCAACGGAUAUCUUGGUUCUC